GAUGAACGCUAGCGAUAGGCUUAACACAUGCAAGUCGAGGGGCAGCGAGGGUAGCAAUACCUGUCGGCGACCGGCGCACGGGUGAGUAACGCGUAUGUAACCUGCCCGCAACAGGGGGAUAACCCGGCGAAAGUCGGACUAAUACCGCAUAAAACAGGGGUCCCGCAUGGGAAUAUUUGUUAAAGAUUUAUCGGUUGCGGAUGGGCAUGCGUUCCAUUAGGUAGUCGGUGAGGUAACGGCUCACCAAGCCUUCGAUGGUUAGGGGUUCUGAGAGGAAGGUCCCCCACACUGGUACUGAGACACGGACCAGACUCCUACGGGAGGCAGCAGUGAGGAAUAUUGGUCAAUGGGCGAGAGCCUGAACCAGCCAAGUCGCGUGAAGGAUGUCUGCCCUAUGGGUUGUAAACUUCUUUUACAAGGGAAUAAAAUGAGAUACGUGUAUUUUAUUGCAUGUACCUUGGGAAUAAGCAUCGGCUAACUCCGUG
rnacentral:rRNA from 1 species